rnacentral:rRNA from 1 species
AAGAACCCCGGGAGGGGAGUGAAAGAGAACCUGAAACCCUAUGCUUACAAGCAGAUGGAGCACUAUUAGAGAGUGUGACAUUGUACUUUUUGUAGAACGGGCCAGCGAGUUACGAUAUGCAGCGAGGUUAAGGCGUUAAGCGCCGGAGCCGCAGGGAGACCGAGUCUUAAUAGGGCGAUAGUUGUAUGUUGUAGACCCGAAACCGGGCGACCUACCCAUGAGCAGGUUGAAGCGGUGGUAAGACACCGUGGAGGACCGAACCACACGCACGUUGAAAAGUGCGGGGAUGACUUGUGGGUAGCGGAGAAAUUCCAAUCGAGCUCGGAGAUAGCUGGUUCUCCUCGAAAUAGCUUUAGGGCUAGCCUCACUUGAAGAUAUAUGGGGGUAGAGCACUGAAUGGGCUAGGGGGUCUCAAAGCUUACCGAACCUUAUCAAACUACGAAUACCAUAUAUUACCUAAGUGGGAGUCAGACGGCGUGAGAUAAGUUUCGUCGUCAAAAGGGAAAGAGCCCAGAUCAUCAGCUAAGGCCCCAAAGUGCAGGUUAAGUGGAAAAGGAUGUGGGACUGCAUAGACAACUAGGAUGUUGGCUUAGAAGCAGCCACUCAUUUAAAGAGUGCGUAAUAGCUCACUAGUCGAGUGGUCCUGCGCCGAAAAUGUCCGGGGCUAAAACCUGCCGCCGAAGCUAUGGGUGCACGUAAGUGCGCGGUAGAGGAGCAUCGUGUAUUGGCAGAAGCGAUACCGAGAGGAGUCGUGGACGAUACAGGAGAGAGAAUGCUGGCAUGAGUAGCGAGAGGGAGGUGAGAAUCCUCCCCAUCGAAAGCCUAAGGUUUCCUGGGGAAGGCUCGUCCACCCAGGGUAAGUCGGGACCUAAGCCGAGGACUAGAUGGUCGUAGGCGAUGGACAACAGGUUGAUAUUCCUGUACUACCUUUAGCGUUAAAACGAGGCAGUGACACAGGAGGAUAGGCAGAGCGGGUUGAUGGUAGAACCCGUCCAAGCAUUUAGGGAGACAGAGUAGUGAAGUACGCUUUGUUGAUAAUUCUGAGAUGUGAUGGGGACAGAAAAUAAGUAUGGAAGCUGCUGAAUCCACACUGGCGAGAAAAGCUGCUAGGAGCGAAGAGGUACCCGUACCGCAAACCGACACAGGUAGGCGAGGAGAGAAUCCUAAGAUGAGCGAGAUAACCAUUGUUAAGGAACUCGGCAAAAUGACCCCGUAACUUAGGGAGAAGGGGUGCCUAGAAAUAGGUCGCAGAGAAUAGGUCCAAGCGACUGUUUAGCAAAAACACAGGUCUGUGCGAAAUCGAGAGAUGAAGUAUACGGGCUGACGCCUGCCCAGUGCCGGAAGGUUAAGGGGAAAUGUUAGUCGAAAGGCGAAGCAUGGAACUUAAGCCCCGGUGAACGGCGGCCGUAACUAUAACGGUCCUAAGGUAGCGAAAUUCCUUGUCGGGUAAG